rnacentral:rRNA from 1 species
UACGGAGGGUGCAAGCGUUAUCCGGAUUCACUGGGUUUAAAGGGUGCGUAGGUGGGCAAGUAAGUCAGUGGUGAAAUCUCCAGGCUUAACUUGGAAACUGCCAUUGAUACUAUCACUCUUGAAUACCGUGGAGGUCAGCGGAAUAUGUCAUGUAGCGGUGAAAUGCUUAGAUAUGACAUAGAACACCAAUUGCGAAGGCAGCUGGCUACACGAAUAUUGACACUGAUGCACGAAAGCGUGGGGAUCAAACAGG